rfam:Sorghum bicolor cultivar BTx623 chromosome 5, whole genome shotgun sequence.
AUUCCAUGACGGGGACAUUCUAGGAUGUAGUCUUGGAAGCGCUCCCAUGCUUCUGGAACAGAUUCAUCAUGUUGUUGCUGAAAACAUGUAAUUUUCCCACGGAGAGC